UGUGAAGAAGGCCUUCGGGUUGUAAAGCACUUUCAGUCGUGAGGAAGGUGGUAGUGUUAAUAGCACUAUCAUUUGACGUUAGCGACAGAAGAAGCACCGGCUAACUCCGUGCCAGCAGCCGCGGUAAUACGGAGGGUGCGAGCGUUAAUCGGAAUUACUGGGCGUAAAGCGCAUGCAGGUGGUUUGUUAAGUCAGAUGUGAAAGCCCGGGGCUCAACCUCGGAAUUGCAUUUGAAACUGGCAGACUAGAGUACUGUAGAGGGGGGUAGAAUUUCAGGUGUA
rnacentral:rRNA from 1 species